rnacentral:rRNA from 1 species
UUAAGCGACUAAGCGUACACGGUGGAUGCCCGGCAGUCAGAGGCGAUGAAGGACGUGCUAAUCUGCGAUAAGCGUCGGUAAGGUGAUAUGAACCGUUAUAACCGGCGAUUUCCGAAUGGGGAAACCCAGUGUGAUUCGUCACACUAUCAUUAACUGAAUCCAUAGGUUAAUGAGGCGAACCGGGGGAACUGAAACAUCUAAGUACCCCGAGGAAAAGAAAUCAACCGAGAUUCCCCCAGUAGCGGCGAGCGAACGGGGAGCAGCCCAGAGCCUGAAUCAGUGUGUGUGUUAGUGGAAGCGUCUGGAAAGGCGCGCGAUACAGGGUGACAGCCCCGUACACAAAAAUGCACAUGCUGUGAGCUCGAUGAGUAGGGCGGGACACGUGGUAUCCUGUCUGAAUAUGGGGGGACCAUCCUCCAAGGCUAAAUACUCCUGACUGACCGAUAGUGAACCAGUACCGUGAGGGAAAGGCGAAAAGAACCCCGGCGAGGGGAGUGAAAAAGAACCUGAAACCGUGUACGUACAAGCAGUGGGAGCACGCUUAGGCGUGUGACUGCGUACCUUUUGUAUAAUGGGUCAGCGACUUAUAUUCUGUAGCAAGGUUAACCGAAUAGGGGAGCCGAAGGGAAACCGAGUCUUAACUGGGCGUUAAGUUGCAGGGUAUAGACCCGAAACCCGGUGAUCUAGCCAUGGGCAGGUUGAAGGUUGGGUAACACUAACUGGAGGACCGAACCGACUAAUGUUGAAAAAUUAGCGGAUGACUUGUGGCUGGGGGUGAAAGGCCAAUCAAACCGGGAGAUAGCUGGUUCUCCCCGAAAGCUAUUUAGGUAGCGCCUCGUGAAUUCAUCUCCGGGGGUAGAGCACUGUUUCGGCAAGGGGGUCAUCCCGACUUACCAACCCGAUGCAAACUGCGAAUACCGGAGAAUGUUAUCACGGGAGACACACGGCGGGUGCUAACGUCCGUCGUGAAGAGGGAAACAACCCAGACCGCCAGCUAAGGUCCCAAAGUCAUGGUUAAGUGGGAAACGAUGUGGGAAGGCCCAGACAGCCAGGAUGUUGGCUUAGAAGCAGCCAUCAUUUAAAGAAAGCGUAAUAGCUCACUGGUCGAGUCGGCCUGCGCGGAAGAUGUAACGGGGCUAAACCAUGCACCGAAGCUGCGGCAGCGACGCUGAUGCGUUGUUGGGUAGGGGAGCGUUCUGUAAGCCUGCGAAGGUGUGCUGUGAGGCAUGCUGGAGGUAUCAGAAGUGCGAAUGCUGACAUAAGUAACGAUAAAGCGGGUGAAAAGCCCGCUCGCCGGAAGACCAAGGGUUCCUGUCCAACGUUAAUCGGGGCAGGGUGAGUCGACCCCUAAGGCGAGGCCGAAAGGCGUAGUCGAUGGGAAACAGGUUAAUAUUCCUGUACUUGGUGUUACUGCGAAGGGGGGACGGAGAAGGCUAUGUUGGCCGGGCGACGGUUGUCCCGGUUUAAGCGUGUAGGCUGGUUUUCCAGGCAAAUCCGGAAAACUAAGGCUGAGGCGUGAUGACGAGGCACUACGGUGCUGAAGCAACAAAUGCCCUGCUUCCAGGAAAAGCCUCUAAGCAUCAGGUAACAUCAAAUCGUACCCCAAACCGACACAGGUGGUCAGGUAGAGAAUACCAAGGCGCUUGAGAGAACUCGGGUGAAGGAACUAGGCAAAAUGGUGCCGUAACUUCGGGAGAAGGCACGCUGAUAUGUAGGUGAAGCGACUUGCUCGUGGAGCUGAAAUCAGUCGAAGAUACCAGCUGGCUGCAACUGUUUAUUAAAAACACAGCACUGUGCAAACACGAAAGUGGACGUAUACGGUGUGACGCCUGCCCGGUGCCGGAAGGUUAAUUGAUGGGGUCAGCGCAAGCGAAGCUCUUGAUCGAAGCCCCGGUAAACGGCGGCCGUAACUAUAACGGUCCUAAGGUAGCGAAAUUCCUUGUCGGGUAAGUUCCGACCUGCACGAAUGGCGUAAUGAUGGCCAGGCUGUCUCCACCCGAGACUCAGUGAAAUUGAACUCGCUGUGAAGAUGCAGUGUACCCGCGGCAAGACGGAAAGACCCCGUGAACCUUUACUAUAGCUUGACACUGAACAUUGAGCCUUGAUGUGUAGGAUAGGUGGGAGGCUUUGAAGUGUGGACGCCAGUCUGCAUGGAGCCGACCUUGAAAUACCACCCUUUAAUGUUUGAUGUUCUAACGUGGACCCGUGAUCCGGGUUGCGGACAGUGUCUGGUGGGUAGUUUGACUGGGGCGGUCUCCUCCUAAAGAGUAACGGAGGAGCACGAAGGUUGGCUAAUCCUGGUCGGACAUCAGGAGGUUAGUGCAAUGGCAUAAGCCAGCUUGACUGCGAGCGUGACGGCGCGAGCAGGUGCGAAAGCAGGUCAUAGUGAUCCGGUGGUUCUGAAUGGAAGGGCCAUCGCUCAACGGAUAAAAGGUACUCCGGGGAUAACAGGCUGAUACCGCCCAAGAGUUCAUAUCGACGGCGGUGUUUGGCACCUCGAUGUCGGCUCAUCACAUCCUGGGGCUGAAGUAGGUCCCAAGGGUAUGGCUGUUCGCCAUUUAAAGUGGUACGCGAGCUGGGUUUAGAACGUCGUGAGACAGUUCGGUCCCUAUCUGCCGUGGGCGCUGGAGAAUUGAGGGGGGCUGCUCCUAGUACGAGAGGACCGGAGUGGACGCAUCACUGGUGUUCGGGUUGUCAUGCCAAUGGCACUGCCCGGUAGCUAAAUGCGGAAGAGAUAAGUGCUGAAAGCAUCUAAGCACGAAACUUGCCCCGAGAUGAGUUCUCCCUGACUCCUUGAGAGUCCUGAAGGAACGUUGAAGACGACGACGUUGAUAGGCCGGGUGUGUAAGCGCAGCGAUGCGUUGAGCUAACCGGUACUAAUGAACCGUGAGGCUUAACCU